GUUUGUUCCUUUACUUGAAUUCAGAUGCAAAAAGGUCGACGUGUGUCUUAAACCUCCUUCAGUUCUUUCUUUCUAGCUGUCUGCUCAUUGAGGAAGCUGGGCCAGUGUCUGGAGGCCGCCUUGCACGCGGGAUGUGAGUGGGGGACCUCCCAGGUGCCUGUUGGCCGUCUGUCCCCGAGGCGUCCUGACUCAGGGCCAGCUUUCAGCGAGGACAUGGCAGAAGCAGAGUUUGUCCCCCUCGUCCUUUCAGGAGACACCAAGAUUCUCUGCAAAUGGAAGAGCUGACGGUCUCACAGCCGGCAAGGGGAACCUGGAAACGUGACGCUCCAGAAGAGUGUUGGGAAGGAGCAGAAGAAAUCAGCAGCAGAUAUUGCUGGAGCCCCAGACGGCCUGGCACCGAGGUCUGGAGGGAAACCAGGCGUAGCAGCUGGCACAAGAAUGGACAGAGCAGCUUCAUUCAAGAUCGGAGACCGGCCAGGCGCCCACCCAAGGGAGAGUGGAUGAACACACUGUGGCAUUUUGUGCAGUGUAAUGUCACUCAGCAGCAGAAGGGGAAAAAUGACAACGUGGGUGAAGCUCAGCAAGGCUGUGCUGAGUGGAGGAAGCCCCGCCCGGAUGGGCUUCCCUGUGCAAUUCCAUGUCUGCCAAGUCCCACACUGGCAGAUCCCCCCGUGGUGGAAAAGCCCAGAUGAACGGUGGUCACUGUGUGCGUGGGCAGCGACUGAGCAGGAAACGGCAGGAAGCAGGGAGGGCUUCGGGAUGUGGUAACAUAGACCCUGAUGGGGGUUGGGGUUAUACAGGUGCGCGCCUUUGCCCGAACUCAGCAAGUACUGAGCAGCUGUAAACGGAUGUCGGCCAUGAGCUGGCAAUAUGCACACUAAGCUACUGGAUAGAGGAGGGGGCUGGAGUCGUCUGGAGUCUGCUCUGACAUUUGUCAAAAAGCCAAAGUGGACGGAUGGCUGGGUGAGGGAGGAUGGGCAGACAGCUGCCUGACCGGGCAGGGAGGGCCAGUGUCCACGCGGCCUCCGGGUGGUGAGGGCAGGAGCUGCACUGUGAGCUCAUCUCUGCUUUGCUGCGAGUUUGAGACGUUUCUGCUGAAGUGUGGGGGGAAAGUGUCCCAGGUGGGAUAAUAAGUACCUGAUCACCCCCACACAGUGCCCACCGGCUGUCUCCCAGCAAGACCCAGGGAUGCAGCGGGCACUGUGGAUUCAGAUGGGUCAGGAGAGGACCUUCCUGACCAUGGGUUCUCAGCAAACCCGCAGCCUGGGUCUGGCAACCCCCCGCAUCCUGCGGUGUCUCAAAGGUGUACAAACGUGGUGUGGCGUGAGAAAGUAGAAUGCUGGCUGCUGGGGUUGGGGGCUGGAGGUGGGACCCAGUGUUUAACCCGGACAGAGAUUCAGCUCUACAGGAUGAAGAGAAUCUGGAGAUGGCCAAAACUGUGGCACUUUGAGCUCACCGCAACCCCACAAAGUAGAACUGUUCCUGUCGCUGCUCUGCUGAGGAGGAGGGUGAUGCUCAGAGUGGUCCAGUGCCUUGUCUGAGACAUGACCAGGGGAUGUCUCAGAGGCAACUAGAACUUGAACUCUUGCCUCUACUGUAUCUUGGGAGCUGGGUACCACUUGGGACUGCUGACUCUUCGAUUACAAGAGGGAGGAAGGAUAGUUCAAUGUCUCCCCUUAGCAGCAGGUGACAGAAUGCAUUGUGUCCUUGCUGCUCACACAGGAGUAGGUCUCUUCUCCAAGACUACCUGCUCCAUCCUCUGCCUUCUCCUUCACUUGGUUGCCAAGUUUGCAGACAGCAUCAUCUGUACCAGUUUCCUCCUCUCCCCUCCCCUCCCUUCUCUCCUCCCCCCUCCCUUCUCUCGACUCCCCACCCUUCUCUCCCCUCCCCUCCCCUCCCCUCCCCUUCCCGGUCCUACUCAUCCACCUGAAACUCACCAUGUUUCACAUUUUUUUCCCUCCCAAGUGUCCUGAAAGAAUCCAAAGGCUCACUUUUUUUUUUUCCUGAGACAGAGUCUUGCUCUGUUAUCCAGGCUGGAGGGCAGUGGCAUGAUUUUGGCUCACUGCAGCCUCCAUCUCCCGGGUUCAAGGAAGCUCCCAAGAUACA